GGCUCGGUGGUGGAUGAUCCACACCUGCAUUCCUUGAUUCAUUUCAUUUGUGGUUACGCAGGAGGAGCCCGUUCGAUUCGGGCCUGAGCCA